rnacentral:rRNA from 1 species
CUCGUAGGCGGUUUGUCGCGUCUGCUGUGAAAACUCGGGGCUUAACUCCGGGCUUGCAGUGGGUACGGGCAGACUAGAGUGCGGUAGGGGAGACUGGAAUUCCUGGUGUAGCGGUGAAAUGCGCAGAUAUCAGGAGGAACACCGGUGGCGAAGGCGGGUCUCUGGGCCGUAACUGACGCUGAGGAGCGAAAGCGUGGGGAGCGAACA